rnacentral:rRNA from 2 species
UGGGGAAUAUUGGGCAAUGGGCGAAAGCCUGACCCAGCAACGCCGCGUGAAGGAAGAAGGUUUUCGGAUUGUAAACUUCUGUCCUCAGGGAAGAAGGAAGUGACGGUACCUGAGGAGGAAGCCCCGGCUAACUACGUGCCAGCAGCCGCGGUAAUACGUAGGGGGCGAGCGUUGUCCGGAAUGACUGGGCGUAAAGGGCGCGUAGACGGCUGUCUAAGUCUGGAGUGAAAGUCCUGUUUUCAAGGCGGGAAUUGCUUUGGAGACUGGAUGGCUUGAGUGCGGAAGAGGUAAGUGGAAUUCCCAGUGUAGCGGUGAAAUGCGUAGAGAUUGGGAGGAACACCAGUGGCGAAGGCGACUUACUGGGCCGUAACUGACGUUGAAGCGCGAAAGCGUGGGGAGCGAACAGG